CUAUUUUACUAACUUCCAGUAAUUGUAUUCAAUGUACAUACAGCUUGCUACAAUUCGUGAGAUACUGAUCCUCUUAGGAACCAAGUACUCUGGUUUGAUACCAC